rnacentral:rRNA from 1 species
UGGCGGACGGGUGAGUAACGCGUGGGUAACCUGCCUUACACUGGGGGAUAACACUUAGAAAUAGGUGCUAAUACCGCAUAAUGAGAGGAGACGCAUGUCUUCUGUCUGAAAACUCCGGUGGUGUAAGAUGGACCCGCGUCUGAUUAGCCAGUUGGCGGGGUAACGGCCCACCAAAGCGACGAUCAGUAGCCGGCCUGAGAGGGUGAACGGCCACAUUGGGACUGAGACACGGCCCAAACUCCUACGGGAGGCAGCAG